rnacentral:rRNA from 1 species
GUGCACCAGGCGAGAAAACUUUACAAUGUGCGAAAGCACGAUAAGGGAACUCUGAGUGCCUCCUAAGGAGGCUGUUUCAGGUGUCUAAAAAGCACCUGAAGGAAGGGCUGGGUAAGACCGGUGCCAGCCGCCGCGGUAACACCGGCAGCCCGAAGUGGUAGCCGACGUUUAUUGGGUCUAAAGCGUCCGUAGCCGGCUGGGU